AUUGAACGCUAGCGGCAUGCUUUACACAUGCAAGUCGAACGAGUGGCGGACGGGUGAGUAAUAUAUCGGAACGUGCCCAGUAGCGGGGGAUAACUACUCGAAAGAGUGGCUAAUACCGCAUACUAUAGGAGCGGCCGAUAUCGGAUUAGCUAGUAGGUGGGGUAAAGGCUCACCAAGGCAACGAUCCGUAGCUGGUGUGAGAGGACGACCAGCCACACUGGGACUGAGACACGGCCCAGACUCCUACGGGAGGCAGCAGUGGGGAAUAUUGGACAAUGGGUGAAAGCCUGAUGCAGCCAUGCCGCGUGUAUGAGAAGGCCUUCGGGUUGUAAAGUACUUUUAGCGGGGAAGCGGUAUCUGCAGAAUAAGCACCGGCUAACUACGUGCCAGCAGCCGCGGUAAUUC
rnacentral:rRNA from 1 species